AACACCUGAGGAGAAGCUGAAUGCAGCGCUGCUGCAGUAUGAGAGAGAAUGGAGGUGAAGAUAACGAGGCUAAAGCUAAUGAUACUGUAGAUAAAAACAAAACAAAAACAACAACAAGAACUCUACAACAUGCUGUUCUCCUGCGUCCUGGAGCUUCUGGAGCAGCUAAAGCUAAACUUCAGACUGACUGGAUACAGUCUCCCCAGCUAACUACCUGCACAGCAUCCUGCAGACCCUGCUGACCCAGAGAGGACUACAGCUGUCUCUGUUCUGGUGGCACUACUGUUUUACUACCUUCCUGCCUGUCAAGCAACAAGAAGAUCAAUUCUCAGAAAGUCUGAGCUGCUCCAGUGUCCAGAGGCUUCCAGUCUGGGGACAUCAUGUGAUAAGAUAAUCUGGAACCCCCAGCAUUAAAGAUUUCUUCCCACCCCAUUAAGGGUAUAAAAGCUGGGGGACCUGCGCACUGCCACUUCCUAAGGAAAAAGAGAGAGGGGUGAAAGAGGAAGGAAGAGAGAGGGGUUUCGAAAGGAACUGAAGAGUGGACAGUGUGGCUUCUGCUUCAUCCAAACAGGCCUGAAGAUGUCACUGAGUGAGUUCAGGAAGUCAUCUUCUCACCACGUUUUCUCAAUGUGGUUCAUUAGUUUUUUUGCAUACCUGUGUCUGCUUUCAGUUUUCCUUUUGUAUAUCUUGUCUGUUUAAAUAGAU